AUUGAACGCUGGCGGCAUGCUUUACACAUGCAAGUCGGACGGCAGCGGGGUAGUGCUUGCACUACUGCCGGCGAGUGGCGAACGGGUGAGUAAUAUAUUGGAACGUACCGGGUAAUGGGGGAUAACCAAUCGAAAGAUUGGCUAAUACCGCAUACGCUCUGAGGAGGAAAGCAGGGGACCUUCGGGCCUUGCGUUAUUCGAGCGGCCAAUAUCUGAUUAGCUAGUUGGUGGGGUAAGGGCCUACCAAGGCGACGAUCAGUAGCGGGUCUGAGAGGAUGAUCCGCCACACUGGGACUGAGAUACGGCCCAGACUCCUACGGGAGGCAGCAGUGGGGAAUUUUGGACAAUGGGCGCAAGCCUGAUCCAGCCAUGCCGCGUGUCUGAAGAAGGCCUUCGGGUUGUAAAGGACUUUUGUUAGGGAAGAAAAAGGAGCGGUUAAUACCCGNUCUGCNGA
rnacentral:rRNA from 1 species